AGUGAACGCUAGCGGUAGGCCUAACACAUGCAAGUCGAACGGCAGCACAGUAAGAGCUUGCUCUUACGGGUGGCGAGUGGCGGGCGGGUGAGGAAUACAUCGGAAUCUACUUUUUCGUGGGGGAUAACGUAGGGAAACUUACGCUAAUACCGCAUACGACCUACGGGUGAAAGCAGGGGAUCUUCGGACCUUGCGCGAUUGAAUGAGCCGAUGUCGGAUUAGCUAGUUGGCGGGGUAAAGGCCCACCAAGGCGACGAUCCGUAGCUGGUCUGAGAGGAUGAUCAGCCACACUGGAACUGAGACACGGUCCAGACUCCUACGGGAGGCAGCAGUGGGGAAUAUUGGACAAUGGGCGCAAGCCUGAUCCAGCCAUACCGCGUGGGUGAAGAAGGCCUUCGGGUUGUAAAGCCCUUUUGUUGGGAAAGAAAAGCAGCAGGUUAAUACCCCGCUGUUCUGACGGUACCCAAAGAAUAAGCACCGGCUAACUUCGUG
rnacentral:rRNA from 1 species